rfam:Oryza meridionalis cultivar OR44 (W2112) chromosome 6, whole genome shotgun sequence.
UUCAAGUGUAUCACGCCAUUGACUUUUUAUCCAACGUUUAACCAUUUGUCUUAUUCAAAAAAUUUAUGUGAUUAUCAUUUAUUUUAUUGUAACUUGAUUCAUCAUCAAAUGUUCUUUAAGCAUGACAUAAAUAUUUUCAUAUUUGCACAAAACAUUUGAAUAAGACGAAUAGUCAAACAUUGGAUAAAAAAUCAAUGGCGUCAUACAUU